AAAUUUAAAAUAAUAUUAUUUUAAAAUUAAUAAUAUUUUAAAAAUAUAAAUGAGAUUUGCUGGGAUUAUGAGUCAAUUCGACAUGAGUUUUUAACACUAUUGCACGAGAUCAACUUGUUUUUUGUGAAAUCCAGCUCGGGCCAGGUCUUGAGCCUUGCCUGAUAUCAUAAUAGAGCUAAGGGGUUGAUUGAAAUUAAAUGCUGAUAUACAUACAUAUAUAUCAAGGAUAACGCUAAACUCCCAAGAAACAAAAACUUUAAAUUUAUCAAGUGGAGUAGUAUUCUUUUUUUGUCUAUCCUCUGUCUCUCCAGGAAAUUGAACUGAAACUGAUAAUCUAUCAAGAAUCUACCGCUUAAUUAGUAAAAUCACUUCUUUUAAAUAAAGUAGUGAGCACCAAGAGAGCUCGGAUAUAGUUUUUAUUUCUAAUUUUCUAUACAAGGUGGUCUUUCACUCCUGCUUGGCACAUGCAUCUCGAUAGCCGCUAACAAAGGAGGGAAACACAGUUCUUUUUAGAAGGGCAGCUUCUUCUUCUUCUUCUUCUUCUUCUUCCUUUUUUUGGUGUUGUAAAUUCGAUCAAACAUUACUAAACUAUGGUCUGAAUACUCUGUACCAUGUUACUUGGUUAGUUUGAUAUAAUUGAGGAAAUUAGGCAUGGAUCUUGAUAAAAUAUAUUAGAUUUGUCGUAUCCAAGUCAAUGCAAAACUUUCCUGUAGAGGAAAGGGAGUAUCUGUGGCAGUCUGGUCGAGCUUUCACAUAUCUUUCCAUUGGCCCAAGAAACCUUUCUAUAAAAAAGAACAGUGCGUACCACUAUUUGAUAACUGAAGGCAGCUUGAGUGGACAUGCUAUCCCAAAUUCUCAUGAUAAAACACACAAUUUCUACUCCUACAUUUGGACAGUGCGAACUUCCAAGGAGGAGGAGGAGU